GACGAACGCUGGCGGUAUGCCUAAUACAUGCAAGUCGAACGCUGAAGCACUCUGCUUGCAGAGUGUAGAUGAGUGGCGAACGGGUGAGUAACACGUGGGGAACCUGCCCAUAAGAGGGGGAUAACAUCCGGAAACGGGUGCUAAUACCGCAUAGGUGAUCAUAGCGCAUGCUUAGAUCAUUAAAGAUGGCUUCGGCUAUCGCUUAUGGAUGGCCCCGCGGCGUAUUAGCUAGUUGGUGAGGUAAUGGCUCACCAAGGCUGUGAUACGUAGCCGACCUGAGAGGGUGAUCGGCCACACUGGAACUGAGACACGGUCCAGACUCCUACGGGAGGCAGCAGUAGGGAAUCUUCCACAAUGGGCGAAAGCCUGAUGGAGCAAUACCGCGUGAGUGAAGAAGGUCUUCGGAUCGUAAAGCUCUGUUGUUAGAGAAGAACAAGAGGUGUAGUAACUGGCACCUCCUUGACGGUAUCUAACCAGAAAGUCACGGCUAACUACGUGCCAGCAGCCGCGGUAAUACGUAGGUGACAAGCAUUGUCCGGAUUUAUUGGGCGUAAAGCGAGCGCAGGCGGUCUUUUAAGUCUGAUGUGAAAGCCCACGGCUCAACCGUGGAGGGUCAUUGGAAACUGGAAGACUUGAAUGCAGAAGAGGAAAGUGGAAUUCCAUGUGUAGCGGUGAAAUGCGUAGAUAUAUGGAGGAACACCAGUGGCGAAGGCGACUUUCUGGUCUGUAAUUGACGCUGAGGCUCGAAAGCGUGGGGAGCGAACAGGAUUAGAUACCCUGGUAGUCCACGCCGUAAACGAUGAGUGCUAAGUGUUGGAGGGUUUCCGCCCUUCAGUGCUGGAGCUAACGCAUUAAGCACUCCGCCUGGGGAGUACG
rnacentral:rRNA from 1 species